CUACAUACAACCGCUCAAACAUAGGUCAAAGUACAAAUUGUAUUUUAAUUAAUGAUAAUUUUAAUUAAAAUGCCGAUAUGUCACCUAUAUAUGGCGUGACUUAUAAUAUA
rnacentral:sRNA from 1 species